AAGGAAUAUUGGUCAAUGGACGCAAGUCUGAACCAGCCAUGCCGCGUGAAGGAUGAAGGUCCUCUGGAUUGUAAACUUCUUUUAUCUGGGACGAAAACGGGAUUUUUAUCUCAAUUGACGGUACCAGAGGAAUAAGCACCGGCUAACUCCGUGCCAGCAGCCGCGGUAAUACGGAGGGUGCGAGCGUUAUCCGGAUUUACUGGGUUUAAAGGGUGCGUAGGUGGGCUUAUAAGUCAGUGGUGAAAUCUCCGAGCUUAACUUGGAAACUGCCGCUGAUACUAUAGGGCUUGAAUUACCUGGAGGUAAGCGGAAUAUGUCAUGUAGCGGUUAAAUGCUUAGAUAUGACAUAGAACACCAAUUGCGAAGGCAGCUUACUACAUAUAAAUUGACGCUGAGGCACGAAAGCGUGGGGAUCAAACA
rnacentral:rRNA from 1 species